UGGGGAAUAUUGGACAAUGGGCGCAAGCCUGAUCCAGCAAUGCCGCGUGAGUGAUGAAGGCCCUAGGGUUGUAAAGCUCUUUUACCCGGGAAGAUAAUGACUGUACCGGGAGAAUAAGCCCCGGCUAACUCCGUGCCAGCAGCCGCGGUAAUACGGAGGGGGCUAGCGUUGUUCGGAAUUACUGGGCGUAAAGCGCACGUAGGCGGCUUUGUAAGUCAGAGGUGAAAGCCUGGAGCUCAACUCCAGAACUGCCUUUGAGACUGCAUCGCUUGAAAUCCAGGAGAGGUCAGUGGAAUUCCGAGUGUAGAGGUGAAAUUCGUAGAUAUUCGGAAGAACACCAGUGGCGAAGGCGGCUGACUGGACUGGUAUUGACGCUGAGGUGCGAAAGCGUGGGGAGCAAACGAGGAUUAGAUACCCUGGUAGUCCAGCGCCGUAAACGAUGAUAAACUAGCUGUCCGGGGACUUGGUCUUUGGGUGGCGCAGCUAACGCAUUAAGUUAUCCGCCUGGGGAGUACGGCCGCAAGGUUAAAACUUAAAUGAAUUGACGGGGUC
rnacentral:rRNA from 1 species